rnacentral:rRNA from 1 species
UACAGGGGGUGCAAACGUUGCUCGGAAUUAUUGGGCGUAAAGCGCGCGUAGGCGGCCACUUAAGUCGGAUGUGAAAGCCCUGGCUCAACUGGGGAAGUGCACCCGAAACUGAGCGGCUUGAAUGCAAAAGAGGGUCGCGGAAUUCCCGGUGUAGAGGUGAAAUGCGUAGAUAUCGGGAGGAACACCAGUGGCGAAGGCGACUACCUGGCCCAUUCUUGACGCUGAGGCGCGAAAGCUAGGGGAGCGAACAGG